GGUAGCCUCUUCUAGAAGUGUGGCCGUGGGAGUCAAUUAAAAUCGCUGGAUUUCCUUGUCCAUAUUAUACAGACACUAAACAUUUCCUCUUCUGGUUGCUUACAAUAUCGAAAUAGUUCCUAAUUUCCUGAUUCCCACAACACACAAAAUACAAUUUUGGAAUUACUAUGCAAAGCCACUGGGCCCGACAAAGACAAGGAGCAUAACAAAAAGACAUCAGUGGGACAUCAAAUGGCUACAUAACCAGGACCAUCACAGCCAGUGUCAUCAUUAAAGGACUCACAACUUGUGGUUUAUCGUGACAAGUUUCUUCAUAACAUGUCUGAUCAAGAGACACAGUCGACACUGAGAGAGGCAUAACAAUGGAUAACACAAACUUGGGUCUACUUGUCCUAAAAUAAACCUCAUCACCAGAAACCAUGAGCUAAUUAAAAGUACAGCUAAGAUGCCAAUUUAGAAACGAUA